GGAGUUUGGUCCGUGUCUCAGUACCAAUGUGGGGGACCUUCCUCUCAGAACCCCUACUGAUCGUCGGCUAGGUGGGCCGUUACCCCGCCUACUACCUAAUCAGACGCAUCCCCAUCCCAUAGCGAUGAAUCUUUGCUCCAACUUAGAUGCCUGCAUUGGAGAACAUAGGGAAUUAAUCCGACUUUCGCCGGGCUGUGCCCUACUACGGGGAAGGUUGGAUACGCGUUACUCACCCGUGCGCCGGUCGCCAUCAAAGUUUGCAAGCAAACUUCAUGCUGCCCCUCGACUUGCAUGUGUUAAGCCUGUAGCUAGCGUUCAUCCUGAGCCAUGAUCAAACUACU
rnacentral:rRNA from 1 species